rnacentral:rRNA from 1 species
UACGUAGGGAGCAAGCGUUGUCCGGAAUCAUUGGGCGUAAAGCGCGCGUAGGUGGCCUCGUAAGUCCGCUGUGAAAGUCAAAGGCUCAACCUUUGAAAGCCGGUGGAUACUGUGGGGCUAGAGUACGGAAGAGGCGAGUGGAAUUCCUGGUGUAGCGGUGGAAUGCGCAGAUAUCAGGAGGAACACCAAUAGCGAAGGCAGCUCGCUGGGACGUUACUGACACUGAGGCGCGACAGCGUGGGGAGCAAACAGG